rnacentral:rRNA from 1 species
AGGCCGAAAGGCGUAGUCGAUGGGAAACAGGUUAAUAUUCCUGUACUUGGUGUUACUGCGAAGGGGGGACGGAGAAGGCUAUGUUAGCCGGGCGACGGUUGUCCCGGUUUAAGCAUGUAGGCUGGUUAUCCAGGCAAAUCCGGAUAAUCAAGGCUGAGGUGUGAUGACGAGGCACUACGGUGCUGAAGUAACAAAUGCCCUGCUUCCAGGAAAAGCCUCUAAGCAUCAGGUAACAUCAAAUCGUACCCCAAACCG